rnacentral:rRNA from 1 species
UACGGAGGGUCCAAGCGUUAUCCGGAAUCAUUGGGUUUAAAGGGUGCGUAGGCGGUUUGGCAAGUCUUGUGUGAAAUCUUUGGGCUCAACCCAAAGUCUGCACAAGAAACUGCCGGGCUUGAGUAUGGGAGAGGUGAGUGGAAUUUCCGGUGUAGCGGUGAAAUUCGUAGAUAUUCGGAAGAAACACCAGUGGCGGAAGGCGACUCACUGGCCCGUUACU